rnacentral:rRNA from 1 species
GAGACAGCAGUCGCCACGGUAAUACAGAGGGUGCGAGCGUUAAUCGGAUUUACUGGGCGUAAAGCGUGCGUAGGCGGCUUUUUAAGUCGGAUGUGAAAUCCCUGAGCUUAACUUAGGAAUUGCAUUCGAUACUGGGAAGCUAGAGUAUGGGAGAGGAUGGUAGAAUUCCAGGUGUAGCGGUGAAAUGCGUAGAGAUCUGGAGGAAUACCGAUGGCGAAGGCAGCCAUCUGGCCUAAUACUGACGCUGAGGUACGAAAGCAUGGGGAGCAAACAGGAUUAGAUACCCGAGUAGUCCCUGUCUCUUAUAC